CAUCGCAAUCGCCUCCAAGUCUACUGUGACUGAGUACCGACUGCAAAAUUUUUGACAGCUCGUUUGUUUUGGUUCGAACACAGCUGGAAGUACGGGCAAAUGUGCUAGUGCAAAAAGUUUGUAGCAGUGCAGCGCCGAAAAACUUUCGCGGAAGAGCCGGGGACAAACUUUCAUCGGCAGCAGCACCAACGAGGGAUCGCAGUGAUCAAACGUUACGGAGAUUCGUGCAGGAAGAGGACGAAACAGGAAGAGCAAGAAUUGUGAAUUGGUGUAGUUGAAUUUAAUAAAAUAGUUAAUAUCGUA